CCAGACUCCUACGGGAGGCAGCAGUGGGGAAUAUUGCACAAUGGGGGAAACCCUGAUGCAGCAACGCCGCGUGAAGGAAGACGGUUUUCGGAUUGUAAACUUCUGUUCUUAGUGAAGAAUAAUGACGGUAGCUAAGGAGCAAGCCACGGCUAACUACGUGCCAGCAGCCGCGGUAAUACGUAGGUGGCAAGCGUUGUCCGGAUUUACUGGGUGUAAAGGGCGUGUAGCCGGGUUGACAAGUCAGAUGUGAAAUCCUGCGGCUUAACCGCAGAACUGCAUUUGAAACUGUUGAUCUUGAGUACUGGAGAGGCAAACGGAAUUCCUAGUGUAGCGGUGAAAUGCGUAGAUAUUAGGAGGAACACCAGUGGCGAAGGCGGUCUGCUGGACAGCAACUGACGGUGAGGCGCGAAAGCGUGGGGAGCAAACAGGAUUAGAUACCCCAGUAU
rnacentral:rRNA from 1 species